UGGAAGGGGAAGUUAUAUCUAUAUGUCCAUCAACUUAAAGUAUGAAGAAAAGAAAAUAUAAAAUAUGUUCGCGUACAGAUUUCUUAUAGUGUUAUAGAUAAUAUCCAUCACAAUUUAUAAGGAUUUAGACGGUUGUUUUCCAUUUGUUUGUUGUCUUUAAGCGUUUGGUUUGUCAUUUGCUAGGGACUUGCCGCUUAGAAUUUACCUCGGUGUUUGGUUUUAACUAUAGUAAUAGAUUUAUAACCGGUUUCGGUCUUACAGAAUAUCCGUGUGUUAUUAUAACAAGGCAUUGUUGAUGAAGGCAGCCAACUCAGGAACUGAAGAUCGUUACAUGUGCAAACAAGAUCUAGUCUUCCUAAUAUAACAUUGCAAGGCCGUAAGUUUCUCAAGGACCUAUCAAUACUUGUUAUCGGAUUAUGUUUCAUAUUAAUCAUCGUGGUUCGUUUUAACUGUGACACUACAAAUUUCUAAUUAAUUUCUAAGAAAAGUCUAACGCCAAGUUUUCGUAAUCUGGUAAAACUAAAGAAAAUUUUUGUAAACGGUUUUGCUUUGACUUGGUUGAUAAAAGCAAUGACAUUUAUGAGGACAUCUUGCAGACAUUGAAAUGUUGCAGAUAAGUAAAUCUGGAUAGUGCCGGAAGUUUUAAUAAUUUUAUUCUUAUACUGCGGUGGUCUGUCACAUUUGAAAUUGACAUGACUUGAAUGAGGAAUAUACGAACUUUAAGUAGCCUGCGAUACAAAUGGAUAAAAUUUGCAAUCGCAUAUCCAGUUGUUAUACUGAAAGUCGAAACUGUUAAACUGCAUUUUCCCAAAAAAAUGUAAAUCAUGAAAACCG
rnacentral:lncRNA from 1 species